rnacentral:lncRNA from 1 species
GGAAAAGCACAGCAUAUAAAGGAUUGGUCCUACUCAGGCUUUCAGGGAUGCAUUUGGGAUCUGGAAAUUUGUUCUUUGUAAACAAGAGGGAAGCAUAGUUUCCUGAGAAUAUCGUGCUGUAGCUGCCACAGGCAGUCCAAGCAUGGAAGUGUUCUAUUUUGAGGCCAGCCUAGAAGAAUCUGACUUCCACAACUCAGAGUGCAUAAGAUACUUAUGACAGUGAUCGUCCAUCACCAUCUCCCUGAUAUCAUCAGAGUGGCUUGUUCCAUACAUUUUUCCCCGCAGUAUUCCUCCUUUUGACGUGGUCUUCAACCCAAGUAAGAACCGUCCCCUGUUUACUGUGCUGGGGUCCUCCAUGAUCUCAGGGUC